rnacentral:rRNA from 1 species
UACGUAGGUGGCAAGCGUUGUCCGGAUUUAUUGGGCUUAAAGGGUGCGUAGGCGGCCCUGUAAGUCAGUGGUGAAAUACUCCAGCUUAACUGGAGGGGUGCCAUUGAUACUGCAGGGCUUGAGUGGAGUCGAAGUAGGCGGAAUUGACGGUGUAGCGGUGAAAUGCUUAGAUAUCGUCAAGAACACCGAUAGUGAAGACAGUUUACUAGGCUUCUACUGACGCUGAGGCACGAAAGUGUGGGGAUCAAACAGG